rnacentral:rRNA from 1 species
ACGGGAGGCAGCAGUAGGGAAUAUUGCACAAUGGGGGGAACCCUGAUGCAGCAACGCCACGUGUGGGAAGAAGCAUUUCGGUGUGUAAACCACUGUCGUGAGGGAAUAAUGCUUGAUUUCGGUCAAGUUGAAUGUACCUCGAAAGGAAGCACCAGCAAACUUCGUGCCAGCAGCCGCGGUAAUACGAGGGGUGCGAGCGUUGUUCGGAAUCACUGGGCGUAAAGGGAGCGUAGGCGGAGACGCAAGCAGUCUGUACAAUGCCGGGGCCCAACCCCGGACCUGCAGACUGGACUGUGUCUCUUGGAUAGUUCAGGGGCAGGCGGAAUUCCUGGUGUAGCGGUGGAAUGCGUAGAGAUCAGGAAGAACACCGAUGGCGAAGGCAGUCUACUGGGGACUCAUCGACGCUGAGGCUCGAAAGUGCGGGUAGCAAACAGGAUUAGAUACCCUGGUA